AUGGAUACUUCUCCAUUCAAUGGGGCUCGUAUUGGUGGAAUAUCAAGUCAUGUUGAUUUACCUCACAAGUUAUGUAUGAAUGGAUACUUGAGGCUCGUUAAAGAUGGUCUUGAAUCAAAUAAUCCUGAUCCUGUUAAAGAAUCUGAUUUACCUGAAUUCCCUUCUCAUUUAAUGCACAUCAUUAGUCCAAAACAAAACUGA